rnacentral:tRNA from 1 species
AGAAAUAUUGUGCCAAUACUAAAGCUGCUAACUUUAAGUAAUAGCGGUUUAACUCCGUUAAUAUUUCUA